GGGGACGCCUCAGAAUCAUGGCGGGAGGCAAAAGGCACUUGUUACACGGCAGCAGCAAGAGAAAAUGAGAGGGAAGCAAAAGCGGAAACCCCUGAUAAACCCAUCAGAUCUGGCUGCUGGAGUGCAGUGGCAUGACCUUGGCUCACUGCAACCUCCACCUCUGGGUUCAAGUGAUUCUUCUGCAUCAGCCUGCUGAUAGCUGGGACUACAGUGCUCACAACAUACACAGUUGAUGAUGUUUCUGGGAGCCUCCAGUUAAUUCCACACAAGGCUUCACAAAACAGUUGAACCAACAGCGACAACAAAAAGCCUCCCUGCGUAUAAUGAAGUGGCCUUAGAAAUUAUAAAGCCGAUUAGAAAUGCUGAUACAAGAAAUGUAGGGAGACGUUCUUAUGUUCAUCAAGUGCCAUUACUGGCAAUGACCUUAAGUGAGGUCGUACUUGUAUGCAGGCAGCCUUGGGAACAGGCUGAGACCACUGCUGUGUGCAAUCUGUUGAUCUAAGUGAUAUUAACUGCACACCCAAUGUACUGGUUUCUCUCAUCGAAAGAGGUACUAAAGUAACUGAACAGUGGGUAAGCCAAGGGUCAAGGGGAAUAACUAUCUACCCUCACUUGCUUCAAGCAAGCACACUUGGACUGUGUCUUGGGUUCAAGAAUGAGAUAUUUUUUCCUUGGGGGAGGUGGGGUAAGAAGUAUUGAAGCAGUAGAGAAUUGACCUCACCAUUUUGUUUUUCUUUUUUUCUAUUAUACUCUUGAUAGGCAUUUGUUUCCAGAGCUUGGGUGUAAUGAGUACUUAAUUCAGUCACACCACAUGUAGUCCCCAGGGAGUUUUAGGAUAAAUGGCUAUUCCUUUUGCUAUCUGAGGUGCCAUUCUAAACCAGGGCGGGAAAUCAGGUUUGGACAACAGUGAAGAGAAAGGCAUUGGUUGCCUUGUAUGAUGAUGGUGAAUCAGGUAUUGAUCUUUUAAAUAAAUCAGAGAUAGUUUAGAGGUAGCAAAUAAAGGUAAAAGAUAUUAGACUUGGCAGAUUUAUAUCAGGCUGGUUUUAAUUUGCUAUGUUUUGAUCUCAUAAGGGAAGUUGAGAUAUCCAGCAGCUAACAACUACUAUGUGCAAUGAGCACAUGCUUGAAUAAUAAUUGUUAUGUAUUGCUCACCUAUUAAGCGAAAGCAUUUUAACAAAUAAGCUCUCUAUAUAAUCACUUUAUAAGGUAGAUACUAUUCAUCCAAUAUACAAGAUGAGGAAACUGAAGCUCAGCAAGUGUAAGUAAUGUACUUAAGGUGUGACACAGAACUAAGUGCCAAAUCUAAGAUUCAAAUCUAAGUUGUCUGACUCUAAAACCAAUUCUCCUCUCACUACACUACUGGAUAUAUCAAGUAAUACGUGUUUUAACAAUGAUCUUUUGUAUAUUAAGCUUUUUUGUUCCCCUUGAAUUUAUAGUACCAUGAACCUAUUUGGCCCAUGGAAAGUUAGGCUUUGAAAUGACUUGGACUCAUCAAAUGUUGAGCUUUAAAUGAAAGCAUUCUAUGAAUGGUGGCUCCAGAUGACAUCUGACAUCCUAGUCCUCCUCAUACUGGCUUCCUCAUAUCAAAAAGCAAAUCAAUGGGUAUUAUCAUGAAUCUUAGCAAACUCAAUUUAUACGUUAGUGUUAAGUUCCAUUUAUGCUUCAAAAAUUCAAAUAAUAUCAAAAAAAUACAAGCCUAAAAUAUGGUAUAUAUGUAUUAUGUUCUUGCAAUUGAAAUAUUUUGAAUUAUGAUUGUUGUUAUUGUUGUAUUUAAGGGAUUUAAAAACUUCAUCUUUACAGAUAUAUUUUAAUAAAGUUUUUCUGCACUUGACCAAUAUUACAAAUUGUUUAUUAAUCUAUCAUAAAUAUAACAUUAAAAAUGGAGAUGUUUUAUGCAGUGAACUCUAUCACAUAAAGGCAAAUUGUAUAGGAAAAACAUCUACACAUAUUCCUAUAAAUUGAAAUAUUAAAUUAUCUAUUAUUUGACAAGAAACUGAGUUAAAUUUUUUUCAGUAAAAUGUCUUCUAUAUUCAAAUGUCAUUUUAAUUGACAUUUUGAAAAUAUAGUUUACAAAAAAGUUAUGUAAAUUUAUAUAAAACAGUUUCAACAAAAUAUGAUUAUACUAGUAUGCAUACAUUUGAGAUUAAAUUCAUUUAUAUUUAGAUUUUUAGUAUAUAUGAAGACUACUCUUUUAAAAUAAUUAAAUGCUGAAAUCAGUUAUGGAACAUAUCUCAAUUGUUCCAUGAAAAUAAUUUAGUUCUACAUUGAGAAAAGCAUAAAUAAAAUCAUCUAAAAUAAAAAGUUUAAAUCUUAACUAUUUACAACAUUACCAUUUUCAGAACCUGAUAAGCAAGACCUACAUAAUUAAUAUUUAGUUUUAAAAUAUUGCUACCAUAUUUAAAAAGUAAUUACACCAUUUGCCGAUAAAUCAUAUAAAAAUAUUCUAUAUUUUUUGUUGUCCAUACUUGUCUAUGGUUUGUUGUCCAUACUCCUACUGUCUAUGGAAGUUUACAUAAACAUUACAAUUAAAUAUGUAGUAUUAAGACUAUAUAUAAGUUCAUGGUGAUUUAUUUCUAAAAAUGUAUUUUAUCAUUGGAAUAUUCAUUCAAUGACAAUUACAAGUUACUAGAAUACAAGAUAAAUGGUCCUCAGGUCAUUAUACAUUGUAAAAUUAUAGGUAAUUGCCAAUAAUAAAAAGUAUUAUUUGUUCAAAUUAUAUGAGUUAGGUUGCCUAAGAGAUGUGUGAAUUUUUAUUAAAGAAAUCCCUGUUCUUAAGUG